CAGCCACGCAGCCAACCAAGGACAGGUUUCACAGUUGCUGCUAGAGCAGAUAAGGGCCAAUUAGAGGGUAGGCAAAAAGCUCCCACUUCCCUAGCUGCUUGCUCAGCCCGUCUGUGCUAAUCCCAGCACAGUUAAAGCCCCCUCUUUGCUUUCAGAUAUUGCUCUGAGAGAUUAAUCCUCCCCAAAACAAGGCAUUUCCAGCAGGCUGAGAAGACAAAAGAAAACUCUCCGAUUGCAAAAGACUCAGGCACCUGCCUGGGAACGUUUAAUUACCCCAACAAUGACUUCAAAAGCAGAAAAGCCAAAGCCACCAAGACGAAGCCAGCCCUGCAAUCAAAAAGCCACAGAAACGGGCAUUGGCUUAGCACCAGCCCAGCUCAGCUGGCGCUACCCAGACACCUGGGGCCAGUGCCUGCAGGUUAUAACAGUUUGCCAAGUGCAGACUCACAGCCCAUCUCUCCUGGGGACACUUUUCCCCGCAGAGUCUGCAAUGCCAGGCAGGGUGCUGGCUUCUCCUUUGUUUUUUUCCUUGGGCUCAUGUUUUGCCAAUAGAUGCACUUAAAAAAGAAGUGGACAAGUUUAAUCUCCUGCGUCAACAUGUUCCCUUAUCGGGGAGGGUGGUUCCCACCUAGCAGGCCCCAGCUGUCAUUUAUCCUGCUGCAGAAGUGUGUGCAUGCAUUGCAGAGCAAAUCAGAGGCAAAAAUUUCCCGGGUUUUCCUCCCCCUUCCCAGGCUCUUUUGGGAGCACAGGAGUGAACAGAGGGAUUGCUAUAGGGCUGAUCUUGCUGGAGGGGCUGCUCCCUCUCCACAGGUACAGCAGGACCCUGCAAGCAGGCUGGGACUUAGGGGAGACGGCAGGGGAGAUGGCAGGACCCAAGUCCUUGUGCGGAGACCGGACGCUUUCUUCCACCUCGUCUGUGGUGCAGAGAGGCAGGGGGAUAUGAGCCUUGUCACUGGAAGAAGGUUCCUUAAAAACAAAACCGGGCAGCAUACAAGUGCACCUGCUGUCUUUUAGAGACCGAGCUCUACCCCUUCAUCCAAGACAGUGCCUGCUGUCAGAAGGUUUAUCGAGUGGUCAGACCCUCAAGGAUUCAGCUUAGCAGAGGAGGGCUGCAUGCACCACACUCACCGCCGUGCCUCCGCCUUCCCACUCCUGGCCCCUCAUCUUUCACCCCCGGCCCAGGUCCAAGCCCUGGCACGCCCUGUCACACUACACUUCCCCAGCUCCCAACCUUCGGCCUUCCCAUCCCACCUCAGUUACACUGUGCUCCUGCCACCCAGCUCUCCUCACCCACAGCAGGUGACCCUGCAGCGGGUGCUGCAGAGCUUUACAGAGGGUACCGCUGACCAGCUGCUGCUUUCCCUUGUCUGCACAGGUGGAGUAAGCAGGUCAGAGUUACCCAGCAAGGGUUGAUGGGUCAGGACUGGAUCCCACAGCCUCUUGCUCUCAGACUAAGGCAUUGCUGAUCUGCUGAUGGAGUACAACACUGUGGGGAGACACCCUGAUAAGGUUGACCUCUCUGGCCCAACCUUAUUCUCWUCCCACCACCACUCUCCCUACUUCCCGUCCCACACUACCUCUUCCCCUCCCAACCUCCUCUGCAUGCAGGGGACUUCCCACUAUGGUUUGCAGUUACUUUGCCUGACCUGAGGAGAAAGGACUGAAGUGAGAACCACUGUUAUCUCAGGCCUGUGCAGACCAUCUGGAGCAAUCCUGUGAUGACCAAGUGAAUAGAUGCUUUUGCCAGCGCAAUGCAGGUAGCCAAAGAAACUGYUCUGUGGGCCACAAGCAGCCUGUGGCCUGAACACUCGCUGGCAUGACAUAGGCUCUCUGCGCUUCUUUUAUUUAUGUACCCCACCUAGCACUGCAGUGGUAAGCUCUUAUAAAGGCCUUCCACACUUCUUGCUGUGCAAAUAAAAUGAAAAUUUCAGGUAGCA
ensembl:lncRNA